UACGUAGGGUGCAAGCGUUGUCCGGAAUUAUUGGGCGUAAAGAGCUCGUAGGCGGUCUGUCGCGUCGGCUGUGAAAACUCGGGGCUCAACUCCGAGCUUGCAGUCGAUACGGGCAGGCUAGAGUUCGGCAGGGGGAGACUGGAAUUCCUGGUGUAGCGGUGAAAUGCGCAGAUAUCAGGAGGAACACCGGUGGCGAAGGCGGGUCUCUGGGCCGAUACCGACGCUGAGGAGCGAAAGCGUGGGGAGCGAACAGG
rnacentral:rRNA from 1 species